GACGAACGCUGGCGGCAGGCUUAACACAUGCAAGUCGAACGCAUCCUUCGGGGUGAGUGGCAGACGGGUGAGUAACGCGUGGGAACGUGCCCUUCAGUUCGGGAUAACCCAGGGAAACUUGGGCUAAUGCCGGAUACGUGCGAGAGCAGAAAGAUUUAUCGCUGAAGGAUCGGCCCGCGUCUGAUUAGCUGGUUGGUGGGGUAAUGGCCCACCAAGGCGACGAUCAGUAGCUGGUCUGAGAGGAUGAUCAGCCACAUUGGGACUGAGACACGGCCCAAACUCCUCCGGGAGGAAGCAGUGGGGAAUAUUGGACAAUGGGCGCAAGCCUGAUCCAGCCAUGCCGCGUGAGUGAUGAAGGCCUUAGGGUUGUAAAGCUCUUUCGUCCGGGACGAUAAUGACGGUACCGGAAGAAGAAGCCCCGGCUAACUUCGUGCCAGCCGCCGCAGUAA
rnacentral:rRNA from 1 species